CCUGCCCACUGAAUUUUUUUUAAAUGGCCGCAGUAUCCUAACUGUGCAAAGGUAGCAUAAUCAUUAGUCUUUUAAUUGAAGGCUGGAAUGAAUGGUUGGAUGAAAUAUUAACUGUUUCAUAAAAAUUUAUAAUAGAAUUUUAUUUUUUAGUCAAAAAGCUAAAAUAUUCUUAAAAGACGAGAAGACCCUAUAAAUCUUUAUAUUUAGAAAAUUACAAUUAUUUAGAUAAUUUUAAUUUUAUUUUUUUUAAAUAUUUUAUUGGGGUGAUAUUAAAAUUUAAUAAACUUUUAAUUUAUUUUAAACAUAAAUUAAUGAAUUAUUGAUCCAUAGAUUAUGAUUAAAAAAUUAAGUUACUUUAGGGAUAACAGCGUAAUUUUUUUAGAGAGUUCAUAUUGAUAAAAAAGAUUGCG
rnacentral:rRNA from 1 species